rnacentral:misc_RNA from 1 species
GAUGAAGAACGUAGCGAAAUGCGAUACGUAAUGUGAAUUGCAGAUUUCAGUGAAUCAUCGAAUCUUUGAACGCACAUUGCGCCCGCCAGUAUUCUGGCGGGCAUGCCUGUUCGAGCGUCAUUUCAACCAUCAAGCCCUGGGCUUGUGUUGGGGACCUGCGGCUGCCGCAGGCCCUGAAAUGCAGUGGCGGGCUCGCAAGACACACCGAGCGUAGUAGCUUACAACCUCGCUUUGGGAGUGCUGCGGGUGCUGGCCGUAAAGCGACCUUUUGCGUCUUUAGCACUAGGUUGACCUCGGAUCAGGUAGGAGGACCCGCUGAACUUAAGCAUAUCAAUAAGCGGAGGA